rnacentral:rRNA from 1 species
AGAGUUUGAUCCUGGCUCAGAGUGAACGCUGGCGGUAGGCCUAACACAUGCAAGUCGAACGGCAGCACAGGAGAGCUUGCUCUCUGGGUGGCGAGUGGCGGACGGGUGAGGAAUACAUCGGAAUCUACCUUUUCGUGGGGGAUAACGUAGGGAAACUUACGCUAAUACCGCAUAAGACCUUCGGGUGAAAGCCGGGGACCUUCGGGCCUGGCGCGGAUAGAUGAGCCGAUGUCGGAUUAGCUUGUUGGCGGGGUAAAAGCCCACCAAGGCGACGAUCCGUAGCUGGUCUGAGAGGAUGAUCAGCCACACUGGAACUGAGACACGGUCCAGACUCCUACGGGAGGCAGCAGUGGGGAAUAUUGGACAAUGGGCGCAAGCCUGAUCCAGCCAUACCGCGUGGGUGAAGAAGGCCUUCGGGUUGUAAAGCCCUUUUGUUGGGAAAGAAAUCCAGCCGGUUAAUACCUGGUUGGGAUGACGGUACCCAAAGAAUAAGCACCGGCUAACUUCGUGCCAGCCGCCGCGGUAAUUC